UCCAGACUCCUACGGGAGGCAGCAGUGGGGGAUAUUGCACAAUGGGGGAACCCUGAUGCAGCGACGCCGCGUGGGUGAAGGAGUAUUUCGGUAUGUAAAGCCCUAUCGGCAGGGAAGAAGAAAGACGGUACCUGACUAAGAAGCCCCGGCUAACUACGUGCCAGCAGCCGCGGUAAUACGUAGGGGGCAAGCGUUAUCCGGAUUUACUGGGUGUAAAGGGGGCGCAGACGGCAAUGCAAGCCAGGAGUGAAAGCCCGGGGCCCAACCCCGGGACUGCUCUUGGAACUGCAUGGCUGGAGUACAGGAGGGGCAGGCGGAAUUCCUAGUGUAGCGGUGAAAUGCGUAGAUAUUAGGAGGAACACCGGUGGCGAAGGCGGCCUGCUGGACUGUGACUGACGUUGAGGCCCGAAGGCGUGGGGAGCAAACAGGAUUAGAUACCCCUGUA
rnacentral:rRNA from 1 species